UAGGACUCAGAGACCGGGUGUCUCAUCCUA
rnacentral:piRNA from 1 species